GAUGAACGCUGGCGGCGUGCCUAAUACAUGUAAGUCGAGCGAACGGACGAGAAGCUUGCUUCUCUGAUGUUAGCGGCGGACGGGUGAGUAACACGUGGAUAACCUACCUAUAAGACUGGGAUAACUUCGGGAAACCGGAGCUAAUACCGGAUGAUAUUUUGAACCCCAUGGUUCAUAAGUGAAAGACGGUCUUGCUGUCACUUAUAGAUGGAUCCGCGCUGCAUUAGCUAGUUGGUAAGGUAACGGCUUACCAAGGCAACGAUGCAUAGCCGACCUGAGAGGGUGAUCGGCCACACUGGAACUGAGACACGGUCCAGACUCCUACGGGAGGCAGCAGUAGGGAAUCUUCCACAAUGGGCGAAAGCCUGACGGAGCAACGCCGCGUGAGUGAUGAAGGUCUUCGGAUCGUAAAACUCUGUUAUUAGGGAAGAACAUAUGUGUAAGUAACUGUGCACAUCUUGACGGUACCUAAUCAGAAAGCCACGGCUAACUGCGUG
rnacentral:rRNA from 1 species